rnacentral:tRNA from 1 species
GCCUUCGUGGUGUAGUGGUCUGCACGCUGGGCGCAUAUUCCAGAGGUCCGUGGUUCGAUUCCCUGCGAAGGCA